GAUGAAUGCUGGCGGCGUGCUUAACACAUGCAAGUCGAACGAUGAAGCCCAGCUUGCUGGGUGGAUUAGUGGCGAACGGGUGAGUAACACGUGGGUAACCUGCCCUUAACUCUGGGAUAAGCCUGGGAAACUGGGUCUAAUACCGGAUAGGAGCGUCCACCGCAUGGUGGGUGUUGGAAAGAUUUAUCGGUUUUGGAUGGACUCGCGGCCUAUCAGCUUGUUGGUGAGGUAAUGGCUCACCAAGGCGACGACGGGUAGCCGGCCUGAGAGGGUGACCGGCCACACUGGGACUGAGACACGGCCCAGACUCCUACGGGAGGCAGCAGUGGGGAAUAUUGCACAAUGGGCGCAAGCCUGAUGCAGCGACGCCGCGUGAGGGAUGACGGCCUUCGGGUUGUAAACCUCUUUCAGUAGGGAAGAAGCGAAAGUGACGGUACCUGCAGAAGAAGCACCGGCUAACUACGUG
rnacentral:rRNA from 1 species